CGAAAUUAGAUGUUGGGCCCGCCCUCUUGGGUAGAUGGUGUUGCGGUCGUAGACUGUGCCCAGAGUUAUUCUAGCGGCAGCAUCUCCUUUGCCUCCGACUCUUUCUAAGGCUGCAGGCCUGAAAAACCCUGUCGCUCCUUCCGGAGGACACCGAGCGAGCGCCCUAAGGAGAGACUAAAGCCCUCUCUUCAAUCCCGUGCUGUCUUCUGCAGAGCGGGAAGCCGUGGCUCCUCCAUUCCUUUCUGGCUUCAGGCGUCGGUUUCCCCAAAUUGGUGGUAUUCCCAGGAAAUAAAGAGAAACUGCCAACGCUAGGCGCGGGAUGCUGCGCGAGAAACGAAAAAAUGAGUCGGUCUCUCAGGAGCUUCGGCCCAGACUGACUAGCCAGCAAGGCCAUCCGCCUGUCUCAGUCUCCCAGCUCUGGAGUUACAGACAUGCACUAUCAUGUCUGGCUUUUUACGUAUGAAUAUGCAGCACCGCAUUAUACCCUGGGCAGAUGAUGGACUUGUGCUCUAUAAUCACUAUCUGUCAAAAUAAAAACAAAAGAAAAGCCUCAGAACUAUCUUCAAUGCUCUAAAGUAUACUGUAGCUGUCUUCAGACAAUCCAGAAGAGCUCGUUACAGAUGACUGUGAGCCAUCAUGUGGUUGCUGAGGUUUGAACUCAGGACGACCUUCAGGAGCAGCCGGUGCUCUUAACCGCUGAAUCAUCUCUCCAGCCCCUACCUGGUAAAUUUUUACAGCAUCUUGGAACUGUGAGAUACUAUAGUUGUAAUGUACAAAUGAGUCCCUCUGAUACAGGUCAUGUGGCAUGUCACAAAUACUCAGGACAAAGGCACUGAAAUUAAGUUUUAACAACCAUGAAGAUGAUCUUUACCUGAGCAUCAAAUGUGCGUCCAGAAUGACAAAGAUUAUUAAGAUCACAAAGGAUGAAUCCUGGAAGAAUCUCUUCCUCUUCAAUUCCUUUCAGUCUGAUUUUGAGGUUUUCACCUGGAGCUACAGAGUCCGUUUCUACAUCAUCAGAAAGUAUUCCAAGAACUUCCACGUUGUGCUUAAAAAGAAACCAAAGUUGGAAGUUUUCUGACACAUGCACAUUUUAUAAGAUAUAAAAUUACCUUGAUGCUUAUUAAGAAGCUACAAAUCUAAAAGUCAAAAUAAAGAUAAAAUAUUUUAGCCAGAAAUAAACUUUUGAGGAAAAGAAAGGGGGUCAAUCUUGGCUUGUCAGACAAGCACUCUGCCGCCUGCUGCGGUUGCAGAUGUCACAAUUUGUUGUUUUUAAACAACACAUUCUAACAACUUCUAAGUAGAAUACAGAACAAACUUCAUUUUCAGAAUGAAACCAUUGUAAUGAUUAGUACUGUCAACCUGACAAGAUCUAGAAUCACUAAGAGGUAAAUGCCCAGGUGCACCUGUGAGGGUCAGUCCCUGGGCACGCUUGCACACAAUUCCCUUAAGCUAACUGAUGUGGGAAGAAUCCGCUUUACUGUGGCCGAGGUCAUUCUGAGCUGGGAGAAAGUGAGCGGAGCGCUAGUGUUUAUCCUCCUCUGUUCACAAAUGCAUUGUGAUAGAUCAGUGCCUUCGAACUUCUGUGGCUUUGACUUUCCUGCCUUGAUGGACUGUACCCUUUAACUAAGAAGAGCUGAAAUAAAGCCUUGGUCCUUUGAGUUGCUUCGCUCAGCUCCCCAAAACUAUUGAUUUUAAGCAUGAGUGUUUUACCCACAUGUGUGCCUGGUGCCUGAAAGGUCAGAAGUGGUAACAUCAGAUGCCCUGGAACUGGAGAGAUGUUUCACUGGGAGCCACUGUGUCACUGUUGGGAAAUGAACCCAGGUCGUCAGCAAGAGCAAGAAAGAGCUCCUUAACCACUAAACCAUCUCUCCAGCCUCAUUGCUUUGGUUUUAGAAAAUUACUUUCAUUUAUAUAUAGGUGUGUGCUCAUCUCUGUGUGAAGAGUGCCGUGUAUUGCAUGAAUCAAGUUCCCUUUAAGAGCUGAGUCACCUCUCCAGCCUCUUCCUUGAGUUGUUUCUCUCAGAGUAUUUUAUCAACCACAGGAAACUAAGACAAACAUCAAAUUUAAUAACUGGAUUUUUAACUCUCUUAAAUUUAAAUUUCAGAAUUCAAGAAUUUUUCCCCCACAGCAGGUCAAUCCUCAAUUAAGGAGGUAUUUACCUAGAAAGCAUUAAAAACAUCAAUUUGUUUCUUGGUAUAAUUUUAUAAUACAUCAAAUAAAAAUCAUCAAAUCUAGCUUUAAACCCA
rnacentral:lncRNA from 1 species